rnacentral:pre_miRNA from 9 species
GGACGAUCUUUAGCAUGGCUUGAGCUCCAUGUCUUGGGAAAGGCGAUGAGGGCCCUCAUCGCCUUUCCCAAGACAUGGAGCUCAAGCCAUGCUAAAGAUCGUCCU